rnacentral:rRNA from 1 species
UGACGAAGCGACGCCGCGUGGAUGAAGAAGGCCUUCGGGUUGUAAAAUCCUGUCAGGAGUUAAGAAAUGUAAGUUUGAUAAUACCAAAUUUACUUGACAAAGGCUCCAAAGGAAGCCACGGCUAACUCUGUGCCAGCAGCCGCGGUAAUACAGAGGUGGCGAGCGUUGUUCGGAAUUAUUGGGCGUAAAGAGCACGUAGGUGGAUUUGUAAGUCAGAUGUGAAAGCCUUCUGUUCAACGGAAGAAUUGCAUCUGAAACUACAAACCUUGAGUAUAGGAGGGGAGAGCGGAACUUCUGGUGGAGCGGUGAAAUGCGUAGAUAUCAGAAGGAACGCCGGCGGCGAAAGCGACUCUCUGGCCUAUUACUGACACUGAGUGUGCGAAAGCUAGGGGAGCAAACGGGAUUAGAUACCCCGGUAGUCCUAGCCGUAAACGAUGGGCACUAAGUAGAGG